AUAGAUCUGGUGCCAGCCACGCUUCCUUUUUAUCUUGAGCUAUGCAAGGUCAUUAGGUCUGAUGGUCAGAAGUGUCAGGUCCUGUCAAGUGAGUCACAUGUGGUAUAAAAUGCAACAGUGAUAGACAGUCCCAUAGUUUGCUGUAUAUGGUCAUGCCUUUACACAGUGAGUAUUUGCUAAUCACGUCCACUCCUUCCAGCAUGGGAUAAAUCCAGAAUGGAAGAAAAGCAUUCCAGACCGGAAACAGAUGGACAAAAUUUCCUCUUCUACUAAAGCCCACCAUCACCUGCCUAGGAGAACAAGUCCUGGUCCCCAUCAAGAGGCAAUCAGAAUACCCCACAAGCAUAAAGUUAAUCUUAUUUGUGGUAGGUAGUGAAAUGAGAUUAACAGCAGCACUGGCAGUACCUGCCCAGGGUUUGCGUAUGGUUGGUUCUAGUGGAGGAAAUACACCAUCACCUCUAGGAACAGGCAGUAAUCUAAUCUUCCAGGAUCAACAGUAUCAGCAGGAUGGAUCACCAGGAAACACAAGAAGAAGAAGCGGAAAGGAAGAAAGGGUAAGACAUUUUAUAUAAACAUGUCUUUUCUGGGUAUGCUGGUAAAAGAAAUCCUUGUGAAGUUAGUGAUGUUCAAAUAAGAUUCCAUAACUUGGUAACCAAGCAGUGUAUUAGUGACAGUGCUUUUGAAUGUUUGGUCACUGUUAUUCAUGCCUGUGACUCACACCCAACUGUUCUGAACUGAUUCAUUCUUUAAGAAAAAUUUUAAACAAUAUGUUAAAUUAUGCCCUAUCUUUCUAAUUUAAAAGACUGAUUCACACUCAGGAAAUUUUGGUUUAUGAUCUGACAUGUCACUAUUUAUAGGCAAUAUUUUAACAAAAGCAGUGAAACAACAAAUCUUUCAUAGACAAUCAAUGAGGUCUCUUUGAAACGUCAAUGGUGGACUGCAUCUCAAUCAAAAAUUCAAGCUUUGAGGUCAUGUUACACAUAAAAAUAACAGAUUCCAGAAGUUCUUUCAGCCAUAGUAAUUUAUUAGGGGAGACCUUAGGGAUGUCACCAAUAGAGAAGAAAAAACUUUAAGAGAUACUUAGAACUCUCAAUCAAGGAAUCACUAGUAUUGCUGAAGUCAACUACUGCAACAACUAACCAACAUUCAAUUAAGUCUCAAAAUCAAACUAAAAAAGUAAAUCUACAAUGACUUACUUAUAUAUUGUCAUACCUGGGAUCAUUUUUUAAUAAAUAUUUAUUACUUUUUAAAUUAUAAAAUAAA
rnacentral:lncRNA from 1 species